GGGGCAUGAGGACCCUGGGGUGGCUCACACCAGCCCCUCUCCACCCUGCCGCCCCCGCUUUCUGUCCCGUGUGCCUUCCUCGACCUUGGUCUCACGAGGCCUCUUCCGGAAGCGCGGCCGGGGCCGAAGGGGUUCCAUGCCGAGGACCUUGUGGAUCUGCCGGAAGGCCACCAUUCUCAGGGCGUGCUGGUCUCACUAAGUUGCUAGCUGGCCCAUGCUGGUCUUGAACUUGCAGUCCUCCUGCCUCAGCCUCCCAGGGUGCUGGGAUGAGAAGUGUGUCAUCCUCUUCUCCCACUUGGCAUCAUCCCGUGUCAACAAAAGCUACUGGAACUGCCCUUUUCAGUGUCCUGUUCCCAACCACCCUAGGGAGUGUCUGUUGUGCCACUGCCUCCCUGGAUUAUAAACCGAGAGCUAGACAAGCUAUCUGCUGCCUGCUUCUUUUGAAUAAAUAACAACAUAUCCAUUCAAAUCCA